rfam:Oreochromis niloticus linkage group LG18, whole genome shotgun sequence.
GGCUCUGUGGUGCAAUGGAUAGCACAUUGGACUUCUACUGGUUUAUUUCAGAUGCAAUUCAAAGGUUGUGGGUUCAAGUCCCACCAGAGUCA